GCCUGGGUGGCUCAGUCGGUUAAGCGUCCGACUUCGGCUUGGGUCAUGAUCUCACGGUUUGUGGGUUCAAGCCCCACAUUGGGCU
rnacentral:tRNA from 1 species